rnacentral:rRNA from 1 species
UACAGAGGUCCCAAGCGUUGUUCGGAUUCACUGGGCGUAAAGGGGGCGUAGGUGGUGGGGUAAGUCGGAUGUGAAAUCUCCGAGCUCAACUCGGAAACUGCAUUGGAAACUACCCUGCUAGAGGGUCGGAGGGGGGACUGGAAUACUUGGUGUAGCAGUGAAAUGCGUAGAUAUCAAGUGGAACACCAGUGGCGAAGGCGAGUCCCUGGACAACUCCUGACACUGAGGCACGAAAGCUAGGGGAGCAAACAGG